CCUACGGGUGGCAGCAGUCGAGAAUCAUUCACAAUGGGGGAAACCCUGAUGGUGCGACGCCGCGUGGGGGAAUGAAGGUCUUCGGAUUGUAAACCCCUGUCAUGUGGGAGCAAAUUAAAAAGAUAGUACCACAAGAGGAAGAGACGGCAAACUCUGUGCCAGCAGCCGCGGUAAUACAGAGGUCUCAAGCGUUGUUCGGAAUCACUGGGCGUAAAGCGUGCGUAGGCUGUUUCGUAAGUCGUGUGUGAAAGGCGCGGACUCAACCCGCGGACGGCACAUGAUACUGCGAGACUAGAGUAAUGGAGGGGGAACCGGAAUUCUCGGUGUAGCAGUGAGAUGCGUAGAUAUCGAGAGGAACACUCGUGGCGAAGGCGGGUUCCUGGACAUUAACUGACGCUGAGGCACGAAGGCCAGGGGAGCGAAAGGGAUUAGAUACCCUUGUAGUC
rnacentral:rRNA from 1 species